AACGAACGCUGGCGGCAUGCCUAACACAUGCAAGUCGAACGCUUCACCGGUUUCGGCCGGUGGGGAGUGGCGCACGGGUGAGUAGCGCGUGGGAACCUGCCCUGGAGUGGGGGAUAACCGAGGGAAACUUCGGCUAAUACCGCAUGCGCCCCCGGCCCCGGACUUGAUCCGGGGUUGGGGGGAAAGAUUUAUCGCGAGAUAAUUCGCUCUUGGAGGGGCCCGCGUCGGAUUAGGUAGUUGGCGGGGUAACGGCCCCCCAAGCCUUUGAGCCGUAGGUGGUCUGGAAGGAUGAUCAGCCAAACUGGGACUGGGACACGGCCCAGACUCCUACGGGAGGCAGCAGUGGGGAAUUUUGGACAAUGGGCGCAAGCCUGAUCCAGCCAUGCCGCGUGCGGGAAGAAGGCCUUCGGGUUGUAAACCGCUUUUGUCAGGGAAGAAAUCCUUUGGGUUAAUACCCCGGGGGGAUGACGGUACCUGAAGAAUAAGCACCGGCUAACUACGUGCCAGCAGCCGCCGUAACAC
rnacentral:rRNA from 1 species